rnacentral:rRNA from 1 species
GAUGAACGCUGGCGGCGUGCCUAAUACAUGCAAGUCGAGCGAACAGAUAAGGAGCUUGCUCCUUUGACGUUAGCGGCGGACGGGUGAGUAACACGUGGGUAACCUACCUAUAAGACUGGGAUAACUUCGGGAAACCGGAGCUAAUACCGGAUAACAUUUGGAACCGCAUGGUUCUAAAGUGAAAGAUGGUUUUGCUAUCACUUAUAGAUGGACCCGCGCCGUAUUAGCUAGUUGGUAAGGUAACGGCUUACCAAGGCGACGAUACGUAGCCGACCUGAGAGGGUGAUCGGCCGCACUGGAACUGAGACACGGUCCAGACUCCUACGGGAGGCAGCAGUAGGGAAUCUUCCGCAAUGGGCGAAAGCCUGACGGAGCAACGCCGCGUGAGUGAUGAAGGGUUUCGGCUCGUAAAACUCUGUUAUUAGGGAAGGACAAAUGUGUAAGUAACUGUGCACGUCUUGACGGUACCUAAUCAGAAAGCCACGGCUAACUACGUG